UACGGGGGGAGCAAGCGUUGUUCGGAUUUACUGGGCGUAAAGGGCGCGUAGGCGGCCACCGCAAGUCGGUUGUGAAAUCUCCGGGCUUAACCCGGAAAGGUCAACCGAUACUGCGGGGCUAGAGUGCAGAAGGGGCAACUGGAAUUCUCGGUGUAGCGGUGAAAUGCGUAGAUAUCGAGAGGAACACCUGCGGCGAAGGCGGGUUGCUGGGCUGACACUGACGCUGAGGCGCGAAAGCUAGGGGAGCGAACGGGG
rnacentral:rRNA from 1 species